UGGCUAUAGGGGGGGGGGGGCCUACAAAUGCAAGUCGAACGGUAACAGGAAGAAGCUUGCUUCUUCGCUGACGAGUGGCGGACGGGUGAGUAAUGUCUGGGAAACUGCCUGAUGGAGGGGGAUAACUACUGGAAACGGUAGCUAAUACCGCAUAACGUCGCAAGACCAAAGAGGGGGACCUUCGGGCCUCUUGCCAUCGGAUGUGCCCAGAUGGGAUUAGCUAGUAGGUGGGGUAACGGCUCACCUAGGCGACGAUCCCUAGCUGGUCUGAGAGGAUGACCAGCCACACUGGAACUGAGACACGGUCCAGACUCCUACGGGAGGCAGCAGUGGGGAAUAUUGCACAAUGGGCGCAAGCCUGAUGCAGCCAUGCCGCGUGUAUGAAGAAGGCCUUCGGGUUGUAAAGUACUUUCAGCGGGGAGGAAGGGAGUAAAGUUAAUACCUUUGCUCAUUGACGUUACCCGCAGAAGAAGCACCGGCUAACUCCGUGCCAGCAGCCGCGGUAAUACGGAGGGUGCAAGCGUUAAUCGGAAUUACUGGGCGUAAAGCGCACGCAGGCGGUUUGUUAAGUCAGAUGUGAAAUCCCCGGGCUCAACCUGGGAACUGCAUCUGAUACUGGCAAGCUUGAGUCUCGUAGAGGGGGGUAGAACUCCAUGUGUAGCGGUG
rnacentral:rRNA from 1 species